rnacentral:rRNA from 1 species
UACGUAGGGUGCAAGCGUUGUCCGGAAUUAUUGGGCGUAAAGAGCUCGUAGGCGGCUUGUCACGUCGGAUGUGAAAGCCCGAGGCUUAACCUCGGGUCUGCAUUCGAUACGGGCUAGCUAGAGUGUGGUAGGGGAGAUUGGAAUUCCUGGUGUAGCGGUGGAAUGCGCAGAUAUCAGGAGGAACACCAAUGGCGAAGGCAGAUCUCUGGGCCGUAACUGACGCUGAGGAGCGAAAGCAUGGGGAGCGAACAGG